rnacentral:piRNA from 1 species
UCCACUGAGGUUUAAUGAGGUUCCCAUGCU